rnacentral:lncRNA from 1 species
AUAAAAAGUAAAAUGUAAGCAAUAGUAUUGUUUUCUGAAAUACACAAAAAUGUUCCAGUGUUACUGAGAGGAAUUAAAAUCUUAUACUGGAAGCUGACUCUUUUUUCUUGUAACUUAAUACUUUUAAAUGUAAGAAAAGAUAAAUGUCAUGAAUCAUAUUGUCAUGAAAUGUGAGAUUGUUACCAUUUGCUGAACUUCAUUAGUGCAUGUAAACGAAACCCUGAAGAGCUAUGUUAAGCUAGUACUCUUACUGUAUCUUUUCUGGGGGAAAAAAAUGAGCAAUGUGUAAUGUUAUAGGAAAAUGUUUUCUGAUCAGAUGGCAACUUGUGGUUUAGGUGAAAUUGAGUUUUGUUUGCAAAUAGUUUGUCACUCUGUCCCUUUGUUUUAAAAGUUGCUUACAUUCUUAAAUAGUCACACAUUCAGGACAAAAUGCCUAAUUUGAAACUUCUUAGUGGUAAACUUUUAAACAAAAUUUUUCUUGUGGAAAUAUUUUUAUAAUAUUUGAUCCACUUAAGAUUCUGUAGUAAAUUAUUUUAAAUAUUGCACUUUAAUACAGACAUGAUGUCUAGCUCCUAACCUACUUGAGGUAACUAGGGAAUAUCCACUAGAAUAGGCACAAUACUCUGGAAUAUUUAUCUAGUUGGCCUGUUAUGAAUUUGAACAUGUACUUUCGUUCAGAUAAUGUGAAAAUAGGGAUACUGAAUAGCUCUAGGUAACCUUAGAGGUUCCCCCCAUUCUAAAAGACAAGUAGUUUAUAUUCAAAUCUUAAGAACUGCAAUUGUAAUAAGUAUGAUGGUGGGCCUGUUAAUCUUUACCUUGAAGAACCAGCUUUCACCUGUUUCCCUUCUCUUUAACCUAACUUUUCUUUAAAACUUGGACUGUGAUUUCAAAUUUUAAGCACACUGAACUCUAUUUGCCACCAUUUUUUCAAGACUUCUUUUAAUAGCUAGAGUGGCUUUUUCUUAAAAAACAUACUUAGAUUUUUUUCCCCCAUGCUUGUAAAAAUCUUAGAAGGGAAUCAAAAUCUUGAAAAGAGUCACUCCAUUUCAAAACUUUAAUGUUCUGUUUGAACACAACUUAGCUUUAAAGGGACUACUUCAAAGGGGAGAGUGAAGGGCAGCCCGUAAUUUCAGUGCAUAUUAGACUCUUGUAGUUCAGGAUUUGAAGCUACUGUAUUUAGAUGUUGGGUUUGAAUAUACAGAUUUCUUUUCGAUACCUGUAAAUAUGCCUAUAUUCUUGUAUUUGUACGGGAGUGUACAAAAUGAC